UAGGGAAUCUUCGGCAAUGGACGGAAGUCUGACCGAGCAACGCCGCGUGAGUGAAGAAGGUUUUCGGAUUGUAAAGCUCUGUUGUUAGAGAAGAACGUUGGUAGGAGUGGAAAAUCUACUAAGUGACGGUAACUAACCAGAAAGGGACGGCUAACUACGUGCCAGCAGCCGCGGUAAUACGUAGGUCCCGAGCGUUGUCCGGAUUUAUUGGGCGUAAAGCGAGCGCAGGCGGUUCUUUAAGUCUGAAGUUAAAGGCAGUGGCUUAACCAUUGUACGCUUUGGAAACUGGAGGACUUGAAUGCAGAAGGGGAGGGAGGAAUUCCAUGUGUAGCGGUGAAAUGCGUAGAUAUAUGGAGGAACACCGGUGGCGAAAGCGGCUCUCUGGUCUGUAACUGACGCUGAGGCUCGAAAGCGUGGGGAGCAAACAGG
rnacentral:rRNA from 1 species